rnacentral:lncRNA from 1 species
AGUCAAUGCUAGAAAUGGACGUUUAGUUAUUGAAUCCCGCUAACGAGGGGAGCCAACAAGAGAGGGAUGUCGGCAUCGGGUGUGCGGUUCCAAGAACUGAUUGGCUGUGGAGAUUAGAAGUUAGGAACCUUUGCAACGGAAAGCGGCCUCGGGCAGGCGCCUUUUGAGCAGAGGAGUAAAACCGCCAGAGCGUCUCAUCUCUGGGCCCGGAGCCCCAGGCUCGUUCUCCUCAGCCCCUGCCGGCGGCGGCGCUCUUGCAGCCAUUCCUGUGAGGUCGUUUUUCGGAGCAGCCGGGCCGGCCGAGGAGUAAGUAGGCGCCAGAGUUCUAGCUCGGGCAUCUGCCUCGGGGCCCUGUCGCCGCCGCGCCCCGGAUCCUGCGUUGGUCCUGUCCGAUAAAGCGGAGGUCGGCCCUGCUUGCUGACGAGACCGUAAAAACCACGGCGCUUGGCGCCCUGCCGCCGCCACACCACACCAAAGUGUACCUGCCCGAGGCUGGCUUCGGGCGCGAGCUUGCAUUUGUGACUUUCUCUUACCGUCUUUGUUUGCUUCGUUUUAAGUAUUACUUCCAGAUAAGGGACACAUUCUCGAAAUACUUUGAAAACAGUUUUGAAUUUUGUUCCUCCCGUUGAAACGGAUUAAAUUUGGACCUUUCAAGCUACACUGUGCAAUCAUCAAUCUCAAUAAGCUCUUAAUAGGCUCAUUCUUCCGUAGGCUACAAACAAAAUAAAGAUCAUAACAUCCUGCGGAGGAAGCCAUUGGUCCAUGUAGAGUCGCCAGAUGUCAAUUAAGAGUAGAUCGCUUUUCAGAGAAUACUUAACGACUCUGGUUUAGACCUAGACUUGGAACUUUGAGGUGUUUGGAACACUGGGCAGAAUUUUCCUUUGUUACAAAACAAAGUUUAUGAGAACGUAAUUUGUUUUUGUUGUUUUUGUUGUUAGUAUUGAAGCAAUUUUGGUGCAAACCAAAGGAUAACAAAGCAAAACAAUGAAAAUCACCCAGAGUUCCAUUACCCACACUGAACCAACUUGAAUAUAUUGGUUUAUUUUGGCUUUUUUCCAUAUGAAAUGUUAAAUUUUCUUGUACUCACGUGUAGAAUAUGAUAGUUUGCUCUUUCAUGUAACAUGUCUCCCAAUUUUUACAUACAUAAUUCUAGUUUCAGUAAGCAUUUUUAUAACUACACUCUUUUUCCUUUGUUAUUGUAUGUCUAGGUUAUUUCAACUUUGCACUGUUGCUUGUAACUACUAUGUGAUGAGGCAGUAGCUAGAUUAGUAUUUAGAACGUGAGCAUUCAAGUCAGGCAGACCUGGGCUUCACAACUUACUGUGCAAUUUCAAAGAGUUUAACUUUUUUGAGCCUCAUUUUACACAGUAACAUGGGGAUAAUGGUUCUGAUUGCAUAGAAUUAUUAUGAGAGUAAGAUGAAAUAAUGAGUGGAAGUGCCUGCAGCAUGUAUUGUUAGUAAAUGCUGUAUUACUGCAGGCAAAUUUUUCUUUUGUUGUGGUUUUUUGGUGACAUGUAUGAUUUAUUUCCAGAUUUUGAAUAUACUUAAAUACUAUUAACCACAGUAGGGGUAUGGGGUUUGAUCCACAGCUUUUCAUAUAUUUUAUACAAUAUAUUGUGUGUUUGAUACACAGCUUUUCAUAUACUUUAUUAUAAGUAACACAUGAAUUAGAAAUAAUUUUUCACAAUAGGAAAAACUUUUUAAAAAUUAAAAUUUAUAAUCCUGCUAACCGUAGGUGAAUAGUCACAUUUUGGGCAAUCCUUUUUUAUGCAUAUAUAUGUAGUGGUUUUAUUUUAUUUUAUUUUAUUUUUAUUUUUUGAAACGGAGUCUUGCUCUGUUGCUCAGGCUAGGGUGCAAUGGUGCGACCUCGGCUCACUGCAACCUCCGCCUCACGGGUUCAAGCAAUUCUCCUGCCUCAGCCUCCCGAGUAGCUGGGAUUACAGGCGCCCGCCGCUGCGCCCGGCUAAUUUUUAUAUUUUUAGUAGAGACGGGGUUUCACCAUCUUGGCCAGGCUGGUCUCGAACUCCUGACCUCGUGAUCCACUCGCCUCAGCCUCCCAAAGUGCUGGGAUUACAGGCAUGAGCCACCGUGCUGGGCCUGUAGUGUUUUCUAAAAAUAGAAUUAUAUUAUAAAUUGGGUUUAUCAACUUGCUGAAAAUGGCAGAGGCCAGUGCGAUGAGAGUAGGGUGAUUAAGGGAGUAGGAAGUAAUGCAGGAAAGGGAGUUUGUAGGAUUUAGAUUUCACUGAAAGUGUACUGGACAGGUUGGGCAUAGUGGCUCAGGCCUGUAAUUGUGUCACUUUGGGAGGCUGAAGUGGAAAGAUCCCUUAAGCCCAGGAGUUCGAGCCAGCCUGGGCAACAUAGGGAAACCCUAUCUCUAUAAAAUAAAAAUAAAAAUAAUUAUUUUGAAAAAAAAGUUUACUGGACAGAGUAAGUUCAGGGUUGAGGAGUGACCUGAUUUGUUUUAGAAGGCUCAUUUGGCUGCCAUAUGGAGAUAGACUGCAAGGGACCAGGGGAGGAAGAUGCAAUCCAAUUAGGAGAGUAUUUAAGUAAUCUCUGUGAGAGAUGGUGUUAGUUUCGAUCAGGGUGUAAGUAGGGAAAAAUGAUUGGGUUCUGGAUAUAUUUUGAAGGGAGAAGUUAUAGGAUUCACUGAUUGAUGGGAUGUGGAAUUCAAGAGAAAGUGACUUAAAGAAUUUUGGUUUGGGCAGUUAAACAGAUACAGUUGCUACUUACCAAGAUAGAGACUGAAAGUUGGGGGAAACUAAAUAGAGUUCUGUUUCAGUCAUGUUACCUGUUGUGGAGUCUAACUAGUUGGAACAGGAGUAUGAAAGACUUAAUCUUCUGUUCUUGAGGUAUCAAUUUGUCCCUUCAUUUCUGUCAGUUUUUGCUACAUAUAUUCUGUUACUAGGUGCAUCUAUCCUUGUAAAUUGUUACAUCUUCCUUGUGGGUUUAUCCUUUUAUCAUUAAAAAUGUUUCUCUUUUUCUCUAGUAACAUUGUUUUAAAGUCUAUUUUGUCUGAUAUUAAUGUAGCUAUUUCAGUUCUCACGUGAUUACUAUUUACAUGCUUUGUAUCAUUGACUCUAAAAUGUGUCUCCUGUAGACAUAUAGUUGGAUCUUGGUUUGUUUUUUGUUUGUUUGUUUGUUUUUUGUUUUGAGACAGAGUCUUGCCCUGCCUCCUUGGCUGGAGUACAAUGGCGUGAUCUGGGCUCACUGCAACCUCCACCUCCCGGGUUCAGACGAUUCUCCCACCUCAGCCUCCCCAGUAACUGGGAUUACAGGGGCCCGCCACCACGCCCAGCUAAUUUUUGUAUUUUUAGUAGAGACGGGGUUUCACCAUGUUGGCCAGGCUGGUCUCAAACUCCUGACCUUGUGAUCCACCUGCCUCGGCCUCCCAAAGUGCUGGGACUACAGGCAUGAGCCACUGUGCCUGGCCGGAUCUUGUUUUUUUUAAUCUGAUAAUUUCUGCCUUUUGAUCCAAUUGUUUAAUCAUUCACAUUUAAUGUUAUUGAUAUAGUUGGAUUUAUGUAUGCCAUCUUAUUUUUGUUUUCCUUAUGUCUUGUCUUUUUCUUUUCCUGUCUCUCCUUUACUGCUUUGUUUUGGAUCAAGUGAAUAUCUUCUAAUGUAGCAUUUUAAUUUCUUGAAUGAUUUUUUACACUGUUUUAAGUUUUUUUUAGAGACUGUAGUGGUGCUCUAGGGCUUACCGUACAAUUAGCUUAACUUAUUAGAAUCAGCUUCAGAUUUAUACUAACUCAAUUGCAGUGAGAUAUAGAAACCUUACUCCAAUAUAGUUUUAUUCCAUGUCCCUGUUUUUUUGUGGUUUUGUUGUUGUACAUGUUAUAGUUGUUACAAACUCAACAAUACAUUACUACAAUUAUUACUUUUACAUCAUUUAAAGAAAAUGAACAAAGGAAAGCAAAUAUAUAUUUGUAGCUUUUGUUAUAGUAACCUUAUUUAUCAUUUCAGGUUGUUUGUUUAUUUUUCUUGUGGAUUCAUUACCAUCUGGAGUAAUUUUGUUUUCUUUUUCUUUCUUUUUUUUUUUUUUGGAGGGAUAACAGGGUCUUGCUCUGUUGCCCAGGCUGCUGGAGUGCAGUGUCAUGAAUAUAUCUCACUGUAGCGUCAAACUCCUGGACUCAAAGUGAUCCUUCCACCUCAACCUCCUGAGUAGCUGGGACUACAGGCACAUGCCACCAGGCAUGGCUAAUAUUUGUAUUUUCUGCACCUCAGCCUUCUGAGUAACUAUAUUACUCUAUAAGCACACAUCACCACACCCAGCUAAUUUUUAAAUUUUUUAUAGAGACAGAGUCUCACUGUGUUGCUCAGGCUGGUCUCUAACUCCUGGCCUCAAGUGAUCCUCCAGCUCUGGCCUCCCAAAAGUGCUGGGAUUACAGGCAUGAGUUCUUUGUAUGAGUUCCUUGUAUAUUUUGGAUAUUAACCCCUUGUUAGAUAAAAGGUUUUUCAGUAUUUUCUCCCAUUCCGUGGACUGCCUUUUCAUUUUGUUGUUUCCUUUGCUGUGCAGAAGCUUUUUUGUUUGGUUUAGUUCCAUUUGCUUAUUUUUGCUUUUGUUGCCUGUGCUUUUGGUGUCAUUUACAAAACAAACAAACAAAAUUAUUGCCAAGACUAAUGUCAUGGAGCUUUUCCACUGUUUUCUUCUAGUUUUACAGUUUCAUGUCUUACACUUAAGUCUUUUCACUUUUUUUUUUUUUUGAGACAGAGUCUCCCUCUGUUGCCCAGGCUGGAGUGCAGUGGUGUAUGAUCUUGACUCACUGCAACCUCCACCUCCUGGGUUCAAGUGAUUCUCCUGCCUCAGCCUCCCGAGUAGGUGGGAUUAUAGGCAUGUGCCACUGUGCCCGGUUUAUUUUUGUAUUUUUAAUAGAAAUGGGGUUUCACCAGGCUGGUCUUGAACUCCUGACCUCAAGUGAUCCACCCGCCUCAGCCUCUCAAGGGACUAGGAUUACAGGCAAGAGCCACUGCGCCUGGCCUCUUUUAACCAUUUUGAAUUGACUUUUGUGGAUGGGGUAAGAUAAGGGUCCAAUUUCAUUUCUUGGCAUGUGGUUAUCUAGCUUUUUCAACACCAUUUAUUAAAGAGACUAUCCUUUCUUUAUUGUGUACUUUUGACACCUUUGUUGAUGAUUAGUUGGCCACAUAAACGAGGAUUUAUUUCUGGGAUUCCUAUUCUGUUCCAUUGGUCUAUAUGUCUCCUUUUAUGCCAGUACCAUACAGUUUUGAUUACUGUAGGUCUGUAAUAUAAUUUGAAAUGAAGUGUGAUGCCACCAGCUUUGUUCUUCUUGCUCAGGAUCAUUUUAGAUAUUCUGGGUCUUUUGGGUUCUGUAUGGAUGUUAGGAAUUUUUUUUUUUUUUCUGUGAAAAAUGUCAUUGGAGUUUUGCUAGAGAUUGCGUUGAAUCUGUAGACUACUUUGUGUAUUGCAGACAUUUUGACAAUAAUGAUUCUUCUGAUCCUGAACAUGGGAUAGCUUUCCAUUUAUUUGUGUCAUCUCCAGUUCUUUCAUAUAUGUAUUAUAGCUUUUAGCAUACACAUCUUUCCCCUCCUUGGUAAAACUUAUUCCUAAGUAUUUUAUUCCUUUUGAUGCUAUUGUAAAUGGGAUUGCUUUCUUAAUUUCUUUCUUGGAUACUUCACUGUUAGUGAAGUGUAAUUGAUUUUUGUAUGUUGAUUUUGUAUCCUGAAACUUUACUGGAUUCGUUUAUUCAUUCUAACAGUUUUUAGUGGCGUAUUUAGGGUUUUCUGUAUAUAGGAUGAUGUCACCUGCAGAGACAAUUUUACUUCUUCCUUUCUGAUUUGGAUGCCUUUUAUUUCUUUUCCUUGCCUAAUUUCUGUGGCUAGGAUUUCUAGUACUAUGUUGAAUGUAAGUGAUAAGUGUGGGCAUCCUUGUCUGUCCUUGUCACAUUCAGUUGUAUGUGCAAUACUGGAACCAUCCAGCUCAUAGUCACGUAAUUCCUCUUUGUGCAGCCUCAUGUAAAAUCACACCCCUAUUCACAUUUUUUUCUGUCUGUCUCCCACCUCUCCAGGUCCCUGCCCUGCAACUUUCAGUUACUUCAGACUCUCAGAAGACUAGCCUCUAAAUACCUCAAUUUAUCUGCACUACUGUGGUCUACUUGAAAUUCUCUUCCCUCUUCUGCAGUUUGUAAUGGCAUUCAGGCCAAAAACUGUAGUAGUUUUAGGGCUCUCUUCAUUUGCUUCUCUGCUCCUAGGGAUCAUAGUGCUGUGCUAUCUGUUGUCCAGCAUCUGACACAGUUGGUUUUAUAUUUUGUCUGGUUUUCUAGUUAUUAAGCAGGUUAAGUCUGGUUCCUGCUGUUCUAUAUAGCAGGAAGCAAAGGUUCUCUCAUGAAUUUUUAGCAUAAUAACAUAAGCGUGGAUUCCAAAAAUUCAUUACACAGAUCCUGGAAAUCUGUUUACUAUGUUUUAUACAUUCUGUGAAAGCUGGAGAAUAUAUAUUUGUUUUACUAUGUGUAUCGCAAAUAAAAUAUCAAUUUCAUGUGCCAGAGAAUUGAAUACAUUAUCAAAGGGUCAUUUCAUAACGUUAUAAUCACCAUCCAUCCUGUAAGUCCUUUGAAAUUUCUUCUUUUCUAUGGAUCUAACAUUGAUCAAUAACGAAUUCCUAAGCAUCUAUAUUAGUUAGCCCAGUGUUUCUCAAAGUCCACCGCAUGUAAAAAUCAUCUAGGGAAUCUUUCUAAAAUGUGGAUUCUGAUUUAGUAGGUCUGGGGUGAGGUCUUCCCUUUUGCAAUUCCAGCAAGUUCCCAUGGGAUGCUGGUACUGGUUAAUGGAAGUCACUUAGAGUAGCAAGGAGCCUGUUUGCCUAGUAUUUACAAUGAGCACGUUUUGGGUAUCAUCAAAACAAGAGAAUCUAAAAAUGUAUGGUGUGGGUGGAAGGUUGUGUUACUUGAUAUUUCAAAAAGAUCAUUGAAAUCAGAAAAUCUCAGAGAUAUGUUGGAUUUCAUCACAUUUAUUCUAUGGCUUAAUGUUGUUUUAUUUUGAAUAUAUAAUAAGAGAGAUACCACAAAUCUUUAGCUAUUAAUAUUUAGGGAUGUUAAUGUCCUUAAUUCAUAUUGUCUCAAAUGUGAUUCAUUCCCUCUAUAGGUAUACUAAAACAGGCAUUCAUGCCUACAAAACCAUCUUCCUAACUUUCUUUCCUCUUUUUAGUCUCUUCCUGAACCAGUGACAGUGGUUCUCAAACAUUUUGGUCUGAGGACCCCUUUAUGGCCUUAAAAAUGAUCGAAGAGCUUUUAUUUAUGAAGGUAAUACCUGCUAAUACUUGUUGUAAUCUAUUAACAUUGAGAAAUGUAAAAAUUUUUAUUAAUUCACUUAAAAUAUCAAUAAACCCAUUAUUUGCUAAUAUAAAUUGCACUUUUUAAUGAAAAAUAACUUUAGUUUCUACUGUGUGCUUCUGCAUUUUGAAAAUAUGUCUAGGAUACGGUAUGUAUUUAGGAGAUAUUUUCUAAAUAAAUGCAUAUUCAUUUUUUAAAAUGGGACAAAUGUAGCAUAGACAUAUUUUUGCUAACAAUAUCCAUAUAGUUGCAAAUUUCACUUUUAGAAUUUGCUUUCAAAAACAGGUUGUUUAUUCUUCUUUGUUAUGCCUUAGUUAGUAAAUCAUAUAUUAUAAAACUUCUUCAAUGCAAUUGGUCUUUGGUCAGCCAUUGACAUAGGAAGAGUUAGAAAGAGUCCAGGGCUCCUUGGUACUGGCUGUGACUGGAUAAGUAGGUUGUGGCUUAGUUUGUGUUUAGGUGUCAUAACUAGGCUAGGUUUGGGUCCCAGAAAGUGCUAGCCUUACUGUAGGAGAGGAAGUGGUAUUGCUGGGUGUGUCCUCAGGUCAGGAAGUGGGACGAGUGCAGUAUGGAAGCCCAGGGGGGUCCUUGUGACUGGAGGAAAGGUGAGGUUUCCAGUAAAGGAUUCAGAAUUCGGGCAUGGUGCAGCAUGCCUAUAGCCCCAGCUACUCAGGAGGCUGAAGUGGGAGGAUCACUUGAGACCAGGAGUUCAAGGUUGCAGUGAGCUGUCAUUGCGCCACUGCACCCCAGCCUGGGUGACAGAGUGAGACCUGUCUCAAAAAUAAAUACAUAAAAAUAAUAAUUAAAAAAAAAGGAUUCAGAAUUCUAGAAUACAUAUUAUCUUUCUAUCAUGCAGAUCUGUUCUUAGGAUUGUAUUUUCCAAAUCAUGAAUAAAAUAAUUUCCAAAAUACUUAUUGGGAAAUUAUAUAUAUGUACUGUAUUACUUGGAAUAAAAAUCAAAUAAAAGUCAAACUUCUUAAUGUGGCUGUAAAGCCUUGAUUAUUUAAACCUUGCCUAUUUUUCAGUUUAAUCUUUCAGCCACACUGGCCCUUGUGUUAAUCCUAAAACAUGCCAUGCUUUUUCCUACAUUAAAGCUUAGGGUUUUUGAUAUUUCUACUGCCUGGAUUUCUCUGUUCUCACUCUUCCUCUUGAUCACCAUGACUUAUUUUUCAAGUGUUGGCUUAAAUGUCCGUCUCACAGAUAGCCCUUAUCUAAAUAACAGCUUUCCCUCUGGUUCCUAGAUAAAUUAGGACCUGUUUUUUUCUAUAACUUUCUUAAAGUAUCCUAUUAUUUUCCCUGAUAAAACCUUGUUGGACUGUUUGUCAGUAUAUUUAUUUGCCUGUUUGUUUGGUGUCAGUUUCUCUUUUUUUCCUGUGUGUUUUGUUUGUUUGUUUUUUUGAGACGCAGUUUCACUCUGUCACCAGGCUGGAGUGCAAUGGUGCAAUCUCGGCUCACCACAACCUCCACCUCCCAGGUUCAAGCAAUUCUUCUGCCUCAGCCUCCCGAGUAGCUGGGAUUACAGGCAUGUGCCACCAUCCUGGCUAAUUUUGUAUUUUUAGUAGAGACAGGGUUUUUCCAUGUUGGUCAGGCUGGUCGCAAACUCCCGACCUCAGGUGAUCCGCCUGUCUUGGCCUCCCAAGGUGCUGAGAUUACAGGCGUGAACCACCGCACCCGGCCUGUUUGUUUGUUUUCUUAUUAGACUAUAAACUAUAUGAGAUCAGACCAUGUCUCUUUUGUUUAUCACUCUGGCCUACCUGCUAACACAGUGCUUACACAUAAUAGUAGGUGCUCAAGAAAUACAGUGUUUGAUGGAUGAACGUAAAAUUGUAAGAGCCUGAACUAGUGUAAUAUCGAAAAUAGGGAGGAAGACAUGAAUUAGGAAAGCCUUUGAAAAAUUAGCAUGUUCUGUGAUAAAGCUACAUCUAGGCAAUAUUUUUUGAUACUUUUAAAAAAAAAACUGUAAUAGCUACCCAAUAUUUAGGAAUGAUACACAUCACACAUCUCAGUGAGGUAUGUAGCCUUUUGUACUGGUGAAGAGAGCCAGGUGAAGUCUAACUCUAAGGAUCUAAACACUCCAUUCUAGUAGAGAGCCUGGAGAAGUGCUCUUGCAUAAGCUCAUCCAUGUAAGACCAUCCAUAACUUAGUGAAAUAAUUUUCAUUGCUGUUUAGUUGCAAAAAUCACUCACUGUUUUGCCUCCAUAAGAUUAUCGGUUUUAGUGUUUAAUCGUUCACAGCCUUGUCAAAACCAAAAUGGCUAGGGAGAGAACUAUUUCCCUACAUUAAAACUUCGAGCAAUGCUCUUCAUAGAUUUUGUUUUGAAUUGUUUAGGCCCAUCUCAGAGUUCAAGACACUUAGUCUCUUCUAAGAGAAAUCAUGGUCACAACAAACAGAGAUUAAAUAAAGAGCAAGAAAUUAGAAGAAACUCAAACCAUUCACUUAGAUUAUUUGUUAGAUUUUGGCCUUAAAAAGAGACAAAGUUGCUUGAAACAAGUGAUUAAACUGACAUUUUUAGAUUAUUAUUUUAUUCAUACCUUUAUUGUGAAUAAAUUGGCCACAUGAUAACAUUUUAUAAUGUUAAAUAAAUAUGAUAUAUAUAAAUCUGUAUACCACAACAAUUAAAUUGGAGGGCGAUUUGCCAUUUAAAUAAUUUAUCAUAGGAUUUUUAUAAGAUCAAGCGCUUAGUGCAUAUCAAAGAGACAGAAAGUUUUCAUUGCAGUUCUGCACGUUCACUGAGUACCUUUUAUGUACCAGUUGCAUUGUUCUAGAAUCUUAUCUAUCAUGUAAAGCUAGGUACACCUGAAAUAGUUUAGUUAUGGUGGCAAAGUUAGACUGCAGUUAUUGGCUGGGAAUUUUUUGUAUAUCUAUGUACAUCUUCCAUAAGAGGGCAGCAAAGGACCAGCAUGAUUUUUUCCUUAUCAUGAAGUCAUAGCAGAGAUUGCCUCAUAUUGCAAACUUAAUAGAAAUCUUCUCAGAGUAAGGGCAAACAGAGGGCAUGGUUACAAGUUUACUUACUGUCUAGCCUGUCUUUUAUAUGGUCUGAUAUGGCUUUUUAGUACAUAGAUUAUCUCACAUCACAGUGAUAGCCUAGUGAUUAAAUGUUGAUCCUGGGGUCAGUUGUCAGGCUUUAAAUCCUGGAACCAUAACUUAACUAGCUUCGUGGUCUAGAAAGACUACUCAGUCUUUCUGAGCCUCAGUUUCUUCCUCAAUUUUUUAUAAAAAGGAGGGCAAGGGAUAGUAACAAUGCCACUUCACAUGGUUUUAAUAAACAAAAUAAAAUUUGUGUCCUGAAGAGGCUAAGAACAGUUAAAAGGUGGAGCUAGAAAAACCACCCUAUACUAGCCUUAGGUGUAUUGUAUUUAUUUAAGUUAAACUCUUAUUAAAAAGAGUCUCAUAAAGGAAAAUAUAGGUCAUUACUUUCUGUAACUACUUAGUAUUUUUAGUUAACUAACAUAUAUAUCUAUGUACUGACCAAUUAUUUGCUCGUACAAUUUAUCAAACCAAUUAAAUAUACACUGUUAAAUUUAUUUCCCUGUCCCCCGAGACAGAUCCUGGCUACGUUGCCCAGGCUGGAGUGCAGUGGCGCGAUUUUGGCUCACUGCAACCUCUGCCUCCCAGGUUCAGGCAAUUCUCCUGCCUCAGCCUCCUGAGUAGCUGGGAUUACAGAGGCCUGCCACCAUGCCUGGCUAAUUUUUGUAUUUUUAGUAGAGAUGGGAUUUCACCAUGUUGGCCAGGGUGGUCUCAAACUCCUGACCUCAGGUGAUCCAGCCGCCUCGGCCUCCCAGAGUGUUGGGAUUACAAGCAUGAGCCAGCACGCCUGGCCUGAAAAUACAUUUUGAUGAACAAAAAAUUUUUAAUUUUUUUUUUUUUUUUUUUCCUGAGACAGAGCUUUGCUCUGUCACCCAGGCUGGAGUGCAAUGGCGUGAUCUUGCCUCACUGCAACCUAUGCCUCCUGGGUUCAAGCAAUUCUCCUGCCUCAGCCUCCCGAGUAGCUAGGAUUACAGGCAUGGGCCACCAUGCCCGGCUAAUUUUUUGUAUUUUUAGUAGAGACGGGAUUUCACCAUGUUUGCCAGGCUGGUCUCAAACUCCUGACCUUGUGAUCCGCCCCCGUGGCCUCCCAAAGUGCUGAGAUUGCGGGCGUGAGCCACCACUCCCAGCCAAAAAUUUUUUAAUUUUAAAAGUCAAUGUAUAUCAUUUGUAUUUUAUAGUUAGUGCUUUUUUUGUAUUGUUUAAAUUUUUAAAAUUCUUCCAUUAAUCUAAAAUAUUUUCAUGUGUGCUUUCUACUAAGAGAAUUUAAGUUUUGUUUUUGACAUUAUAGUUUUUAAUACAUUUGGAUUUGGAUCUUAUAUCUUGUAUGAUACAGAACUCUAAUUUUCGCCUUUAACUACAUGCAUAAUCAUUUUUUCCACCUCCACUUAUUGAAUAGUUCCUAAUUUUCCCAUCAAUAUCAUGUGUUUCUUCUGGCAUAGCCAAAGUCCCAUAAAUGUGUGGGUCUGUUGUAGUUUCCUAUUUAAUUCAGUUAAUUUGUCCAAUUUGUUUUAUUAUGCCUUAAUUACCACAGCUUCACAGUAAGUCUUUAUGUCUGAUAGGGCAGCUUCCUCUAGUGUCUUCAGAAAUUUCCUGACUUUAAAAAAAAUCCUUAUUGUUCAUGCUUUUUUAAAGAAUUAGCUUUACAUGAUGCAAGAAAAAGAUCUGUUGGAAUUUUGAUUGUAAUUUUGUUAAAUCUAUAGGUCAACUAAUUACAAUAUUGAAUCUUCUUAUGCACAAACAUGGUAUAUUUCUCCAUUUAUUCAGGUCUUUAUUUAAUGUCUCCUAAUGUCUUUUUGUAGUUUUUACUUAGAGAUCUUACAUAUUUGUUAUUAUAUUUACUCCUAGGUACUUGGUAUUCUCUAAGAUUAUUGAAAAUGCUGUCUUCUUUUUAAUUACAUUUUCAGGUAUUUGUCAUUGGUAUAAAGAAAUGUAUUUGACAAUAAUCUUAUAUUCACCUUAAAUUCUCUUAUUUCUAAUAAAUUGUACUUUUUUUGGUUUUCUACAAAAAUGAUCAUAUCUAAAAAUAAAGUUAGAUUUGUUUAUUCUUCUGCAUCAUUUUGAAUUCAGUUUAUUAUUUCAUGUGCUAUUAGAACCUUUAAUUUAGUAUUAUUUAUUUUUUGAUUUGUAAAUCGGAAUGCUUUUAUUAUCUUUUCAUUUAGGAUGAUGUUUACUGUAGGUUACUUAGAUACGCUCUAUGGAAAUCUCUUUUAUUUUUUCUAAGACCUUUUAUUAUGAAUUUAAUGUUGAAUUUUAUCAAAUGCUUUCUCUGCAUUUAUUAGAAUAAUUAUGAUUUUUCUCUAUCUGUUAUUAUAAUGGGUCAGAUUUAUAGAUUUUUCUCAUACUAAGCCUAUCCUUGUAUUCCUUGGAUAAAUCUAACUUGGUAAUGUUUACUUUUUUCAUAACUUUUAGCUAUUAAGUAGAUACCAAAUUUUCUUUCAAGGUCAAGUUUGAUAGUUAUAAAAAACUAGUGAUACUAAGUCAUAGAAAAUAUACUUUAAAAAACUAGUGAUACUAAGUCAUAGAAAAUAUACUUUAUUUUAUAAAAAGACUUUAACUGUAAAAAGUAAAAAAAAAAAAAAAAAAAAAAAAAAAAAAAAAAAAAACCUGGCCGGGUGCGCUGGCUCACCCCUGUAAUCCCAGCACUUUGGGAGGCCGAGGCAGGCAGAUCACGAGGUCAGGGGAUCGAGACCAUCCUGGCUAACACGGCGAAACCCCGUCUUUACUAAAAAUACAAAAAAUCAGCCGGGCGUGGUGGUGGGCGCCCGUAUUCCCAGCUACUCGGGAGGCUGAGGCAGGGGAAUGGCGUGAACCCUGGGGGGGCGGAGCUUGCAGUGAGCCAAGAUUGCGCCACUGCACUCCAGCCUGGGAGACAGAGCAAGACUCUGCCUCAAAAAAAAAAAAAAAAAAAACCCCUAGAAUUUUAAUUACUGCCUUUACUUUUAAUUCAGUGGUUUUUAGUAUAUUCACAGAGUUGUGUAACAAUCACCAUGAUCAAUUUUAGCAUAUUUUUAUUACUUCAAAAAGCAACUCUGGACUCAUGAGCAGUCAUUCACUCCCCAUCUGCUCCCAACCCCUUUGUUCCCAUCCGCCCACCCAGCCCUAGGCAGCCACUAAUCUACUUUCUGUCUCUACAGAUUUGCCUGUUCUGGACCUUUCAUAUAAAUGCAAUCAGGCAAAAGAAAGGAGAUUUCAGUGCUCAGUGUUGCCAGGUAUCUCUGCCUCCAGUUUUGCACCUUCCUGGAAAGCUCAUUUUGUUCAGAUUGUCUGCCUGCCUCUAUCUAUCCUGCCUUCAGUGGAUGGCAGAGAUUUCAUCUCUUUUGUUUGCACAGCCUUGAAAGGUGCUUGAUACAGAGAUGCUUGGUAAAUACUUGCAGAAUAAAUUAUAAAAGUAACACAUACUCAUAAAAAUUUUAAAGUAAAAAUAUGUAUAGUAAUAAACACUUGGUGCUUAUUACAUAUCAUCCAGUGGGAUAAAUGCUUGUAAGUAUAGUCAGCCUUCUGUUUCCCUGGGUUCCAGAUUUGUGGAUUCAACCAACUGUGGCUCUAAAAUAUCUGGGGGGAAAAUGGCAUCUGUACUGAACAUGUACAUACUUCUUUUCUUGUCAUUCCUUAAACAAUACAGUAUAACUAUUUACAUAGCAUUUAUACUGUAUUAGGUAUUAUAAGUAAUCUAGAGAUUAUUUAAAAUAUACUGGAGGAUGUGCAUAGGUUAUAUGCACAUACUAUGCCAUUUUAUAUCAGAGAUUUGAGCAUCCAAGGAUUUGGGUAUCUGCAAAUUUUGGUAUUCUUGGGAGGUCCUGGAACCAAUCUCUUACAGAUACCAAAGGAUGGCUGUAUUCUCCAUUCCUUUUCACCAGCUGAGAUCGUACUGUUAUCUGCACUUAACAGAUUAAGAAAUAGGUGUGAUGAGUAAUUUGUUUAAAUUCUGUGGUUGAUUGUGUUACUUUUCGACUGUAUUCUGUGCUCUUCCCUACAGGAGGAUUAUUCAUUCCUGUUUACUUGAAUUCAGGCAACAUCAUGUAACUUGAUUUAAGGAACCGAUACAUGAGUGGAAAUUCUGUGUGGCAUUUCUGAGCAGAAGUUUUAUGAGGCAGCACAUGCUCACUGUGUUACCUGUUCCUUCUGCCAUGAGACUGGCAGAUGGACAUUCUCUAUCAGCCAGGAUAUCAGAAUGAAGAAAUGUAGAACAUAGACCAAAACACCAAUGAGAAAUAAGCGUUUGUUGUUUUAGGGAAAGUGUGUUACCACAGCAUAAUUUAACCUAUCCCAAGUGAAUACAUAUUCAUGGAGUUAAUAUCUAUACCUGAAAAUUGAAACUCAGGUUGUCUACAUCUAACUAUGCCUCUGUCUUUUCCAAAGGUAUAAAGUAGGAGAAACUUCCCCAUGAUCCUACUCUUCCAGUGUUAACUACAGUUAAAAUUUAGUGUAAAAUUGUUUAAUACUUUUUCCUAUGUGUAUGUCAAUGUUCAUUUUUUUAAAACUGGGACCACUUUAUAUGACACAUACUAUUUUAGAGCUUCCUUUUCCUACUUAGUAAUAUAAAAUGGACCACUGUCACAGGUUAGGUUUUCCAUAAACAGACACUGAGUUUGGAAUAUAAGAUUAUUUUCAGGGAUCAUCACCUUUAAAAGGAGAAGUGAAGAAGUAGGAUUGGGGAGAGCAAGAAGUAGAGCUGUGAUGCUGGCCCACAGAUGUCUCUCUGGGGUUCGUAUUGUUUGUCAGAGUUAUCCCAUAUCUUGUAGAAGUGGCCAUGCUUUUCAACCCACUCCUUACUCAGUGGCCUGAUGUGGGCUGCCCUGAGCAAGGUAGCUUUCUGCAGCUGAAGCAGACACUGAAGUUGCUGGCAGCUAACUCCAUCUUUGCAGCUGGGCAGCAAAUCCUUUCUUGAAGUGGGAUCUGGACAUUUAUAUUUGUCUAGCACAGUUCAUUUUUUGCAUCACUUGGAAACCCUUCUCUGUUUUCAUUCCUUUUGUUCUUAAUGUAUAUUCUCAAGCCUCUUGUCUACAAUCACUAGAUAAGUUUGUUGUAAACUGUCUUAACUAUAAAAUGAAGAAGGUAUAGGUAACUAUAAUAUGAAGAAUGCAUUGGAAGUGUAAAUUUUAAAGGAGUUUGCUGAUUAAUAACUCUUUUGUUGUAACUUUUGUUCAAUGAUGUUUGACAAAUACUUUUUUUUUUUUUAAUUUGAGGCAGAGUCUCACUCUGUUGCCCAAACUGGAAUGCAGUGGCAUGAUCUCAGCUCACUGCAACCUCCGCCUGUUGGGCUCAGAGAUCUUCCCGCCCCAGCCUCCCGAGGAGCUGGAACUACAGCCUUGUGCCACCACACCCAGCAAAUUUUUGUAUUUUAUUGCAGAGAUGGCAUUUCACCAUGUUGCCCAGGCUGGUCUUGAACUACUGGACUUAAGCAAUCCGCCCACCUGGGCCUCCCAAAGUGCUGAGAUUACAGGCAUGAGCCACCGCGCCUGGCUGACAAAUACUUUUUAAAAAUAUCCAAGUUUCUGGAUUUUAUUCACCUCUACAAAAAUGAUUUAAGUCCUGUAGAAACAUGUGCCCACAAAUGACACAGUAAUCUCCAGCAAUGUGUUCAACAGCACGUUGAGCAUAAUUGAGCAUAACAGACAUUUUUAAAUUUGUUGUCUCAAAUUCCAUUUAGAUUUGGCUAUUGAUGCAAAAUUAGGGAGGUCAUUUUUCACUAGAUUACUUUCAAUGCUGGAAUCCAUACUUAAAAAAAAAAAAAGAAGAAACUAGAUUUAGUAUAUCUUUCUUUGCCACUUCAGGCUUCCAAAGGAGAAAAAUUCAUGGAUAAGUCAUUAACUGUUACAAAUGCAUUAUGUCUUCAGUUGUGAUGGUUAUGAUAAAACAUGUUUAUUUUAUAUUUGUAAUUUAGUAAAAUUAGUUGAUUCAAGGAGCUCUAUCAUAAAUGGGAAGUAAUAAAAUGAUAAUAAUUAAAGCAGGUUAUUUUUCUCUGGUCAUUUUUGCAUUCUUUGUAGCUCAUGAAGUAGAUUUGUUGCUUUCAUCUGUGUCUGCCAUGUAUGCUAGGCAGGAAAGAAAGGAAGUAAGAAAGAUAUAGCCAUGUGGGGAAAGGAGACAGAGGGAAGGAGGAGGAAAGAGAAGGAAGGAAAUAAAAUCAACUCUUCGUUUUCUGCACUUUCCCUGAGCAAGUUCUUUUUUAUUUGUGUGUACAAUGAAUCUGCGUUUCUCCCUGCCACGCCCCCUCCCAACCCCUUUGGCUAAUAGAAAGCUCUGAAAAAAAUUUUGAAACUUAUAUCCAAAUGCAGUGGAUAUAAAUAAAGUUAUUUCCCCUGGCUUUUCAAAAAUAUGAGUGAGUGUUGGAUAUUAGAAAGCUACCUUACUUCUUUAGAUCGAGACCAUCCUGGCUAAUACGGUGAAACCCCAUCUCUACUAAAAAUACAAAAAAUUAGCCGGGCGCGGUGUUGGGCGCCUGUAGUUCCAGCUACUCGGGAGGCUGAGGCAGGAGAAUGGCAUGAAUCCGGGAGGCGGAGCUUGCAGUGAGCAGAGAUCGUGCCACUGCACUCCAACCUGGGCAAAAGAGCGAGACUCCGUCUCAAAAAAAAAAAAAGACAGCUACCUUACUUAUUGGAAAGAGAUGAUCUGUGUGGUCAGUAUCAGUUUCUUCACAGGAAAAAAAAAGUAGAUUAGUAAUAGUGUUUACUAGGCACAGUGCUUUACAUUUCUUUACUUAGUUCUCAAAACAAUCCCAUUACAUAGGUAUUAUCCCAUUUAACAGUUGAGAAAUCUCAGUCACAGAGAGUUAAGUGACUCCCCAAAGUUCACAUGGCUAGUAAAUUAUGGAGCUCUGGAUUUCAUGCCCUGAACCAAUGUGCUAUUACAAGCCACAUACUAAGGUUAAUACACAAAAUACAUGUCAUAAGAUAGGCUCCAAAUUGUUUUAGAGCUUCCCAGCAGUCAAACAGAAAAAAGGAAGCAUGGUUAUUUUCAAGACUUAGGAUACAUAUGAUAAAAGCAAAGCAGUUACUCAGCGGAAGUGCACCUUCCUCAGAAGUUGGGCCUGGAAAAAAACUUCAGAUAUUUAUAAAAUUGAUGCCAUACAAUGUUGUGAACACUAUGUUUCAAAACUGCCCCCUAAAAUAGUAUGAAGCUUUUUUUUUCACAUGACAAAUAUAUGAGAAACCAUUAUUAUUAUUAUUAUUACUGUUUUGAGACAGUGUCUUGCUCUGUCAGCCAGGCUGGAGUGCAGUGGCUCACUGUAUCCUGAAACUGCUGGGCUCAAGGGAUCCUCCUGCCUCAGCCUCCCAACUAGCCAAGACUACAGGCACACACAACCAUGCCUGGCUAAUUUUUUUUUUAUUAUUUUUUGUAGAGACAAGGUCUUGCUAUGUUGCCCAGGCUGGUCUCAAACUCCUGGCCUUAGGCAAUCAAUCUUCCUACCUCGGUCCCCCAAAGUGUUGAGAUUACAGACAUGAGCCAUCACGCCCUGCUGAAACCAUUAUCUUAUGAUUUCUGAUAUGUGACUCUUUCAUUGUAUGGCAUGAUCCAAGGAUAGAUUAUACAUCGAUUCAGUGAACGCAUGGACUCUAUUCUUCUGAGCAAUCCUCCAUGAGUAUGUGUUUUGAGGCUAAUCUUUUGAUAAGGAUAGACUAGCAAAGAAUUUGAUUGAUUCCGUCAGGACUCUAGAGUAGAAAUAUCAUGUAUUGUCAGUUAAAGGCAGAUCUUUGAAUUUUAACAAAGCCAGCAGAAGGCAGGAUUCAUACACUUCCAGGUAUGUCUGAACAGAAGCCUGCCUGACCACAACACAGAUGUGAUCGUCUAAGAGUCUUUCUUGGUGUAAAAUCCCAUGAUUCUACAGGGUUUAUUCAGAUCCUAGUGUCUUAAUGAGUUGAUGUAAGAGUACAGUGCUAUAUUCUAUGAGGGUGUUAUUAUUUGUAAUGAAAAUAGGGAGAAUAAUUACACAUUCUUGCUUUCUUUGGAUCAGAGCUUCUUUACUGGUAAAUACUCCCCUUUUCAUAUUUUUGUACCAGUCAUCAUAAUUUCAAAAAUAGUAUAAUACUGUAUUCUAAGCAUAACAUUUUAACUUGUGUUUAUAUGUGAGAAGUUUAGAAAAUAUAAUAAGAAAAAAUAAAAAUCUCCCACAAUCCUACUGGAGGCUAUGAAUCUUCUCACUCCCAUCUUUUCCUGCACACAUGCCAACGAACUAAAAAGGAUCAGAAUAUGCACACUGUUAUGUAAUCUACCUCAUUCAUGUAAUAAUGUAUCAUGGAUGACUCGAUGCCAUUACAUAUUAAUAGACAUAGUGCCUGCAGAGUAUUAUGUGGACACACUCAGGGCUGAUGCUCUGCUAGUAUCUUCAAGGCUGCUGGAAUAGCCAUGCUGGUUGCUAAAAUAUGGAAAGACUUCCAUACUGGUUAGUAAAUGGUGCUGCCCUGAGCCCUCUGAAUGCCUUCCCACUGGACCUCCCCCCCAUCACACUCCCCAGCAACUAAAGGGUUAACGCCUGUCCCAUCUGGGGCCUCUAGGAUCCUGCUAUAGUAGUGUGGCCAGCCUGCUUUCUGAUUGAUCAGUGCCCAUACCAAUGGUUAAAAUUUUGGAUAUCAUUCUUAAAUGUAUCAUACCACAUUGUUGGUAAUAUUUCGUGUGCUUAUUAGAAAGUAUUUUUCUGUUAAAUAUAUAUAUGUGUGUAUAUUUUUAAGUCUUCCGACAGACUUCUUUGACAUGUUAUGUCUUCAGGAAGCCAUAGGCUCUCAUGGGAAAUUGGUGUCUGGAAUUAUCACUGCAUUAAUGUAAUAAUAUAUAUUUACUAGAACAGUGGUUUGACAUAUGAAAAUCUUAAUUUAUACACCAAGCAUACUUGAAUGUAGACUUUUCCUUCUCUAUAGACCAGAAACCAUGGCAUUUAUUUGGAAUUGCUUGAUGUCACUUUAAAUUGAGACAUUCAAUCCAUUCCUCUUUUGAAUAUGAAAAACUUUUUCCUUUAAGACAAUAGUAUUUUAGACUUCACCAUCCUCCCAUACUGUUCUUUUAUAUUUCUUCAUGUUCUUUCUUCACUAAUCCAUUUCUAACACACCCAUAUAAUUUUUCAGAUUUUUUUCAUAUUUCCAUUUUUAAUAUUCCACAUUAUAUGGGUAAUUUUUUAUAAUCUGGCUUUCUGCAUUUGACCUCAUACUAGUUACCAGCUUUUAUUUUUUUUAAAUAAACAGCUUUGUUGUAAGGUUCAUUAAAACAAAACAAAAUUUCUUUUUUUAAUUGAGUUAGGGUCUCUCUCUGUCCCCCAAGCUGGAGUGCAGUGGUGCGAUCUUGGCUAACUGCAACUUCCGCCUUACGAGUUCAAGCAGUUCUUUGCCUCAGCCUCCCAGGUAGCUGAAAUUACAGGCACACGCUACCAAGCCUGGCUGAUUUUUGUAUUUUUAGUAGAGAUGGGGUUUCGCCAUGUUGGCCAGGCUGGUCUUGAACUCCUGAGCACAAGUGAUCCACCCACUUGGGUCCCCCAAAGUGCUGGGAUUACAGUCGCGCAACACCACACCUGGCUAAUUUUUGUAUUUUUAGUAGAGAUGGGUUUUCGCCAUGUUGGCCAGGCUAGUCUUGAACUCCUGAGCUCAAGUGAUUCACCUGCCUUGGCCUCCCAAAUUGCUGGGAUCACAGGCGUGAGCCACCACACCCAGCGAAAAGAGCAAGUAAUUCUUGCAAAUUUUUUACCCAAACCUUUAGAAUGUGUUCUUUUUUUUUUCUUUUUUUUUUUUUUUUGGUUUUGGGUUUUUUUUUUUUUUUUUUUUUGAGCAUUUAUGAAAUGGCUGUGAACUUCUUCUAACUUCUAACUUUCCAAGUUGUCUCCUUUUGGCCCUAGGAGUAGAAUUUUUCUUUAAUUCUCAGCUGGUGAGAUCUGUUGCCACCACAGUUCAAAAUAACGAUUAAGUACUGAGGCCAGCCCAUGCCUGAUCCUUCAGUGAUGUUAGGAAGGUGAAUGCUUGGCUGUUUGAAAGCCUCCUUAUUGUCAUUUCCAAUCCAUUCUCUCUGCUUCUAUUCCUUUUCUCCCAAAACAUUUCAGUGUUGUCAGUUCAUACUCUGGAGUCUUUGGAAAAAGAGAUUGUUGUCUUUUUAUGAAUUUGUCCAAAUUUUAGUUGUUUCUGGUUAAGUUUAGACCAAGAGGGAUCCAUGUCCCUACAGGAUUACCCCUAUUUCAACCAGUAGAUGAGGAAUAUCCAGCUUUAAUUUGUCAGAGCAAAAAUCCAUUAAUGUUUUCUCAUUACUCAUAAAAAAAAAUCCAGCUCCUUACUGUGGCCUAUAAACCUCUCCAUGAUUGGCCCUCCUUAAUUUAUCUCUUUUAGUCUUGAAGUUUCAGGCACACCUCCUUUUCUUUUAUUGAAAUUCUCAAAGCCAGGUACAGUGGCUCACCUGAGUUUAUUCAAGGCUAAUCCGUAAUUAGGGAAAUAAAGGUUACAGCUGCCUGUUAGUGACUCAGGUCGUAUAAUCACAUUCCUUUAAGGCUCAAAAUAACGUUCCAAUAGCUUUGAUUUUGAAUUACUUAUUUUCACAAGUUCUAUAAAAUUACAGAGUUCUCAUCUAUUUUUGUUGGCAGCUGUUUGCCUAGCAGUUGAAAGUGCUUAGCACAUGAUAGUAUAUGAUAAACAUUUGUUUAAUUUAUUUCAAUAUUGUCAGUCCAUAUUCCAGCUUCUUUGGCAAAGGAGACUGUUGUUUUUAUAUGAAUUUAUCCAAAUUUUAGUUGUUUCCAGCUAAGUUUAGACCAAGAGCCCCCACAGAAUUACUUCCAUGUCAACUAGUAGAGGAAGAGCUUUAAUUUAGGAUUUAAAUGCCACACCACAAUUAUCUAAAGUGACUGAAUUGAGCUACUGAAUAAUAGUCCUUCUAAAGAAGAUUUUAGACACACAUUUCAUUUCUGUUAUUGCUGACAAGUGUUUUAUUUUACAGAAUAAAAGGCAUCUUGCCUGGGAUAAAAUUUCGAAAGGCUGUGUUUUUGUAGCACUUUCUUUUUUGGAAGGAUCUCUUUUUAGCUACUCUGUGUCAUGGUGAUGUUGAGUUCUCUGUUGGAAGCUAGAGUUCCUGGGUUUUUUGAUGUUUCUAGGCUUUUGGGUUUUGUUUAAGAUUUGUGUUUUGGGAAGGAACAUUUCCAUGGUUACGCCCAUUCCUUCUACCAUCCUUGAAAAAACGAGCCAGUAGAGUAAUCUGAUUCCUGGAUUACUACUACACAGAUGUCUUUUGUAUCUGCCUACACAUGAAACUGCUAGGCAAGUUCCAUUUCCAUGCAUUUACUUCCUUCAGUGCUUUUUAAAAAUGAAGCACUUUUAAGAUUAGGAAUGAAAGACUUGGAUUGGCAAGUUAAACAGGGAUUGGCCUACGUUAUGUUAAUAGUCUAAACUCAAUGUAGGAUUAAUUUAGAGGUACAGUAUAUGAAGGGAGAGACUGUUUUGGGAACAACUAAAUCGAAGCUUUGAGCAGAAUUUGCACACAUGUGAGUAAUACUAUAUGCAGAAAGACUGCUGUACUUAAAAAUAGUUUUCAGGUUUUUAAAUAUAAAGUUUCAUGUUGGAAUAGUAAAAUAAAACAUAUGAACUUUUACUGACAUGAAGCAGUAAAAUUAACUUUUCCUUGGAACAGCUUGCAUGCUCAUUGCUGCUCCACACAAACCUAGGUUAAAGAUGCCCAUGAUCUAGCAGUUUUCUUCUCUGAACAUUGCAGAGCAUUUGCACAGACAUGCUUGAAUUUACACUCAUGAGUCCAUUUCAAGUAAGAAGAGGGAGUAAGAGAGGGACCUCCUUCUCAGGGUUAAGGAAGGCCUAAAUUAUGAAAAAGUAGUGCAGCUUUUUUCUUAAGUUAAAGUAACGGUAAAUUUACACCACAUUUCUCUAUGAAUCCAGUAUAUGAAAAGUUUAAUUUGCGUGUUAACUAUUGCUGUGCAGACAGCUUGUCAAGUGAUGAUUUUGACAGCCUGGUGUCUGUCUCCAUUCUGCUGGAACAUCAGACGCCAUUUCUCUUCUUCCUGAGAAAACCACCUCUCAUACUUUGGUAUCCCUCUAAAGUGUUUCAAUUGUAAAUUACUACUAAUAUAUAAUUACUAUUCAUUUAUAGAAGCUUCUAGCUUAAACAUAAAAAUAUACUAAAAGUGAAACAACCGUAAUCUUAACCUCUAGACAUAGAUUAUUUUUCUAUGAACACAUUAACAUAUAUGUCAUAGUUACUAUUGUUUUUUACAAUAAAAGGCUCAUACUAUACAUACAUACAACUUGUUCUGGUAUAUAUUUUGAAUCUUCAUAAUAGCAUUUGUAGAUAUGCUUUAUUUUUUGUAGUUUUGUUUUUUUCUUUAGCCAUCCUUGCAAAUACUAUGUAUUUUGCUUCCUUAAAUCAGUAUUUCAGUAGGAAAAAUUCUUAGAAAUUAAACUGUGAGGGCAAGCAAUUGUGAACAUUUACAUUUUAAUAAGUACCAACAAAUUACCUUAAAACGUGUACCGAUGGAUACUCUUAGUAAAAUGUAAGAGAGUGAUUCACUACAUUCUUACUAGCUCAGGCAUUAUCAAUUUUUUUUUAUUUUAAAUUACUGCCUAAGAAAUACAGUCAUAUAUCUUGUUCUUUUAUUUUAAAUUUCUAUUUGAGAAGUUAUGCACUUUUGUUUGUUUGUUUUUUGAGACAGAGUCUUACUCUGUCAUCCAGGCUGGAGUGCAGUGGCACAAUCUCAGCUCACUGCAACCUCUACCUCUCAGGUUCAGGUGAUUCUCGUGCCUCAGCCUCCCGAGUAGCUGGGAUUACAGGCGCCUGCCACCACGCCUGGCUGAGUUUUGUAUUUUCAGUAGAGAUGGGGUUUCACCGUGUUGGACCAGCUGGUUUGGAAUUCCUGACCUCAGGUGAUCCCCCCACUCAGCCUCCCAAAGUGCUGGGAUUGCAGGCGUGAGCCACCAUGCCUAGCCAGUUACACACUUUUUAAUGUGAUUAUUAAUCACCAUUAUUUCUACUUAUUCAAGCUGACUGUUCACAUAUUUUACUCUUUUUAAAGCAUGCAUUUUAAAUAAAUUGAUAAUAAAUGUUUUUGUCAAAUAUUGCACGUCUUCUCCCCUACAUUUAUUGAAUGCUUACUGCAUGCUAGGCUCUGUGCUAAAUACUUUACAUACAUUAUUCCAUUUAAUCCUCACAUUAAUUUUGGGGAAUGUGUUAUUUUCAUGUUCACACAAGGAAAAUGGGUUCAGAGAGGUUAAGGAAUUUGCCCAAAUUUACAGUUAGUUUAUUUUUAUUUUUAUUUUGAGACAGGGUAUGUCUCUAUCACCCAGGCUGGAGUGCAGUGGCACGAUCCCAGCUCAGUGCAAACUCCGCCUCCUAGGUUCAAGCAAUUCUAGUGCCUCAGCCUCCUGAGUGGAUGGGACUGUAGGUGCCUGCCACCAUACCCAGCUAAUUUUUUGUAGAGGCAGGGUUUCACCAUGUUGCCCAGGCCUGGUCUUGAAUUCCUGAGCUCAAGUGAUCUGCCCGCCUCAGCCUCCCAAAGUGCUGGGAUUACAGCCACGAGCCACUGUGCCCGCUCCACAGUUUUAGAAGUGGCAUUCAAACAGAGCUCAAUCACAAUAAAAGGCACAUCACAAACUAUGAUAAUCCCCCACCUCUUGGAUUGUCUUUUAUCUCUUAACUUUGUGGAGGGUUUUUGCUUUGAUUUUGUUUGUUAUGUUAUAAUGAAGUUUUAAAUUGUUAAUCAUUCCAUAUGGUGUCUAGGUUUUCCGCCAUGAUUAUAAAGCCCUUCCCUAGCCCCAUGUGAUACAAUUUUCUUUCUUAUAAUACUUUUAUAUUUCAUUUCUUUUUAAGUCUUUGGUAUAUCUGACAGCAAUUUAUGUAUGAUUCAGAUGUAUAUUUUUUUCCCCAAAGGUCCCAACACCUUUACUGAAUAAUCUUUUUCCCAUAAUUUGAGAUGACACCUUUAUCAUACACUUAUAUGCCCUGUAUAUUUGAGUCUAUAUCUGGACUCCCUUCUGGUAUAAAGAAGUGCAGUUGACUUUUGUAUAACGACCUUAUACCUGUCCACCUUGUUAAACCCUCUUACUAUUUCUAAUAUCAUGUCUACAGAUUCUGAUUUUCUGUUAAAAUGGUUAAUAAUUCUGUCUCUCUCUCUUUUUUUUUUUUUUUGACAUGGAAUUUUGCUCUUAUUGCCCAGGCUGGAGUGCAGUGGUACAGUCUUGGCUCACUGCAACCUCUGCCUCCUGGGCUCAAGUGGUUCUCCUGCCUCAGCCUCCCAAGUAGCUGGGAUUACAGGCGCCUGCCACUACACCUGGCUAAUUUUUGUAUUUUUAGUAGAGAUGAGGUUUCACCAUGUUGGCCAGUCUGGUCUUGAACUCCUGACCUCAGGUGACCCGCCUGUCUCAGCCUCCCAAAGUGCUAGGAUCACAGGCGUGAGCCACCGCGCCUGGCCCUUAACAUGGUUAAUAAUUCUCUGAUAAAGAUUGUUCUAGUCUUUUUCAAUCCUUUCUCAUCCUUUUGAUUCAACUUAUUUUUCUUAUGUGCUAUUGAAGUCCUUCAAGUCUAUGUUGUUUUUUUUUAUUUCUAAAAAUAAAACCAAGAAUACCAGAAAACCCUAAGGCUGAAGUAACUGAAAACCAAACUCAAAAAUUGAUCUGUAGGGUUAUUCAGUUACUCUGUUGGUUAGUCACCAGGUCGUGUAAGUGCAAGUCCUAAUCAGGAAAAACCAAGACUUUGUGAAUUAGGAUGGGGACACUCCAGAGGAUUCGGAGACCUCCUUGACUCCAUGGAGUACUCUGAACUCAAUGCCUUGAGCCUCCUCUGCUUGUCAAAGCCUUUCCUUCCUCUUAAUCCUCCCGAGGGUGUUUUCCUCCUGACACCAAAUGUGUGAUGUCCGUUCUAACACCAGCCAUUUCUCCAGUUCUCUAGACAUCAACCGGAUGUCCAAUAAUUCAAUUAAAUUCUGAUACUGUCUGCCUGCGUUAGCAUCCACCCCUACAAGUUAAAGGCUCAGUCCCACAAUACUUCCCUACUUCAGAUGUCAGCUGUAAAUGGGGUGCCCAGGUGAUCCACAUUUCUGCCCAGGUGACUACAAAUUUGGGGGUUCCCAUGGCCCCUUCCCCUCAGUUUCUAUAAUUUGCUAGAAUGCCUCACAGAACUCAGCAAAGCCCUGAAGCACUGAUUAUUCUCAUUUUAUUAUAAAAGAUAACAGCUCAGGCCUGGCACGGUGGCUCACACCUAUAGUCUCAGUAACUUGGGAGGUUGAGGUGGGAGUAUUAGAGCAGGUAGUUAGACGUGAGCAGGGCAGAAGAGGGUCCUUCCACCACCAGGAAUGUUAGGCAACCAUCAGGUGAUGGUCAGGUGGUUGUUAACUGUCUCUUUAAAAUAAUAAUUGGUUGCAGCCAGUGCUAGGGAAAGGCAGUCUCCCAACAGAUAGAAAACACCUGAAACUGGUGACUAGCAGCUUCCCAAUAUGAUCUCAGGAGUUGGGUGAGUGGGCUCAAGCAUGUGCACUCAAAGGCAAAAUGGCAGAGUUUAACGGGUAUAUGACCUUCCUCUAGGAACAUUCAACUUGUAGGAAAGAACGCCUCAAUGUGCAUUUGUUCAACUUCAGUAAACACACUGUGCAUUGGCCCCCUCCUAAGUGCUGGCAGGCCACCGCACAUGCAGAAUACCAGCAUAUGAAACCCCAAGUCAGAGGUCAAACUGGGCACUUGAACUCCUCAAGACUCCUGCUUGGCUAUCUUCCAAGUGUACCUUACAUUCUUUGAUUCCUGCUUUAAAACUUUUUAAUAAACUUUCACGCCUGCUCUAAAACUUACCUCCAUCUCUCUCUCUGCCUUAUGCCCUUCAGUCGAACGAAUUCUUUCUCCUAAGGAGGCAAGAAUUGAGGUUGCUGCAGACUCGUGGAUUUGCCACUGCUAACAGGAGGAUUACUUGAGCCCAGGAGUUUGCGUCUCCAGUGAGCUAUGAUGUUAUCACUGCACUCCAGCCUGGGCAACAGAGUAGGACCCUGUCUCAAAAAAAAAAAAAAAAAAAAAAAAAAAAAGAUACUGCUGAGGAACUGCCAAAUGGAAAAAAUGCAGAAGAGAAGAUAUAGGGAGAGGGGCAGAGAGCUUUUACGCCCUCUGUGGGUGCACCAGCCCUCAGUACCUCCAAGUUUUCAACCCGGAAGCUCUCCAAACCCUGUUCUUUAGGAGUUUUUAUGGAGGAUUUGUUGUGUGGACUUGGAUCGAUUAAGUUAUUGGCCAUUGGUGAUUAACUCAACUUUCCGUCCCAAGAGAUUGGGAGUGGGGCUAGAAGUUCCAGCCUCUAAAGAUGCCUAGGUCUUUUAUCAAUCCACCCUCAUCCUGAGGCCAUCCAGGCAACCCCAGGCACCAGUCAGCUCAUUAUCAUACAGAAGAUAAUCUUAUCACACGGGAGAUUCCAAGGGUUUUAGAAGCCAUGUACCUGGAACUGGCACAAAGACCAAAUAUGUUUUCUUGUGCUUUACCUCUCUUUUAAAAACAUGUAACUCCUUGUUAUGGGUUGAAUUGUGUCCCCUGCUUCACGAAUUUCAUAUGUUGGAGUCUUGACCCCCAGCACCUCAGAAUUGUUGAUGAAAAGAGUCAAACUCUGUAAAAUAUUUGAAGAGAUUUAUUCUGAGCCAAAUAUGAGUGACCAAUGCCCAUGACACAGCCCUCACGAGAUCCUGAGAACAUGUGCCCAGGGUGGUUGGGGAAUAGCCUAGUUUUAUACAUUUUAGGGAGACAUGAGACAUCAAUCAAAUACAUGUAAGAUAUACAUUGAUUUGGUCUGGAAAGGUGUCACAACUCAAAGAUGGAGGGUGAGGGGCAGUUCCAGGUCAUAGGUAGAUUUUAAAAUUUUCUGAUAGGCAAUUGGUUAAAAGAGUUAUCAAUAGAAUGUCUGGGUUUCGAUAGGGGUUGUGGAGACCAACUUUUAAAUUAUGCAAAUGAAGCCUCCAGAUAGCAUGCCUCAGAGAGAAUAGACUAAAUGUUUCUUAUUAGACAUAAGUUCUGUGUUGAUGUUAAAUGCUGGUUGGCUCUUUCUGAAUUCCAUAAGUGGGGAUGGUAUAACGAGCCAUGUCUGACCCCCCCAUUUCCAUCAUGGCCUGAACCAGUUUUUCCGGUUAACUUUGGAAUGCUCUGGCAGAGAGGAGGAGUCCAUUCAGAUGGCUGACGGAUCUUAAGAUUUUAUUUUUGGUUUACAGAAUAUAGCCUUAUUUAGGGAUAAGGUCUGUAAAGAGGGAAUCAAGUUAAAAUGAGUUCAUUAUGUAACUGAGUACUCUCAUUUUUCAGUUUAUUUUUUAAUUAUUUUCUCCUCUCCCCUUUCCCCCGGCUUAUGCCCCCAAAGCAUGCCUGCCUCAGAACCUUCACCCUCUAGGAGGGGUUGCCUUGGAACUCCCACCCACCAGGAGGGCAUGUCAAAAGCACGCCCACUUGGCCACUUUUAUAACUUCUGCCCAGGAAGGCACCAACUCAGCUACCCAGUAGUUAAGGCACUGGGCCAGCAGGGGGACCCCUCGCCCUUGCUCACUCCUUCCCCGGCCUUGGAUAAGUGCCUACUUUCUGCUCUGGGAGCAAAACGUCACAUGUAAAGGCAGGACUAACGUUCACGACUCUUCCCCAAGCUAGCUUCGGAAGAAACCGCUUUCUUUAUGCCAGACCUCGCUCUUGUUAAUUGGACUACGCAGGCAGCAAGCAACUAACCCUCUGUUUGGUGACGGUUAUGGAUGGGCGCCCUAAUCCGGUAUGACUGCUGUGCUUAUAGAAAGGAGAAACUGUCCAGGCGCGGUGGCUCACGUCUGCAAUCCCAGCACUUUGGGAGGCACAGGCAGGCGGAUCAUGAGGUCAGGAGAUAAGACCAUCCUGGCCAACAUGGUGAAACCCUGUCUCUACUAAAAAUACAAAAAUUAGCUGGGCGUGGUGGCGCGUGCCUGUAGUCCCAGCUACUCGGGAUGCUGAGGCAGGAGAAUCGCUUGAACCAGGGAGUCAGAGCUUGCAGUGAGCCAAAAUCGCGCCACUGCACUCCAGCCCGGUGACAGAGCGAGACUCCGUCUGAAAAAAAAAAAAAAAAAGGAGAAACUUGUACAUGGAGAUAUGCGUAAAUGUACAGGGACACAGGAAGAAAAUGGCUUUCUACAAGCCAAGGACAGAGGCCUGAAACGGAUCCUUGCCUCACAGCCCCCAGAAAGAGCCCACCCUGCCCCAACACCUUGAUCUUUGAUUCCCAGCCUUCAGAACUGUGAAACAAUACAUUUCUGUUGUUUAAGCCACUUGGUUACGGCAGCUAUAAGAAAUUGAUACACUUUUUUUUUUUUUUUUUUUUUUUGAGAUGGAGUCUCACUCUGUCAGCCGGGCUCUGGAGUGCAGUGGCACGAUCUCGUCUCACUGCAACCUCUGCCUCCCUGGUUCAAGCAAUUCUCCUGCCUCAGCCUCCCGAGUAGCUGGGAUUACAGGCGCCUGCCACUACCGCCAGCUAAUUUUUUGUAUUUUUAGUAGAGAUGGGGUUUCACCAUGUUGGCCAGGCUGGUCUUGAACUCCUGAUCUUAUGAUUCGCCCUCCUUGGCCUCCCAAAGUGCUGGGAUUGCAGGAGUGAGCCACUGCGCCUGGCCCUAAUACACUUUUUUAUAUGAGGAAGUUACAUUGUAAGAGCAAGUAAAUAUUCCUCUAUACAUCCCCAACCACUUCCACUGUAUAUAGACCAGUAGCUAGAGUUAAAUCCCUGUAUGCCCCAAGGGAAAUUACAGAUUUAACACAAGAGAAGGCUUACACAUCAAAAGACUUGUAAGACUUUGAUAAUUUAUGUCUUCUCUUCCCUGAGAUAAUUCUUCCAAAGCUUAGCAUUCACUGGCUUUUGUUUAUCAUGCUCAUGUCCACUGCCAUUUUUUGAUGUACUUAAUUCAUAGGUCCCUUGUUGGCUCUUUAGUCCUCAUUAUUCAUUUGAAAGCUUCUGGACUACCAUAAGGCUAUCUAUGAGAUGUUGGUAUAGCGCCCUGAACAUCUCUCUUAUCUUACUUAGUACACUUGUAUGACUUUAACUUGUAUUUUCCCCACUAGGCCCUGUUUUGUGUGAGGAUUCCCAGUGUCUAGCACAAUGCCUGGUACAUACCAUGUGUUUAAUACCUAGUUCUUAAAGGAAGAAGGAAGAGAGGAAGAGGAAGGAAAUUCUAUCCAAUAAAUGCUAUCUAGGAACAAUGUGGAUUUAUCUUUCUCUUUAGUUACUUAGGAGCUACAUUAGUAUCCUUAGAACUUGUGCUGGAGAGAUUAGUGUUGGCAGUUUAUUAUUUCGUUACCCUUCGAAACUGCAUGGGUAAUAACAGACUGUGGAUAGUCUCACAUGCUGUCUCCAAAUACUUUCUCCCUAAAACUAGAGCAUAUCCUCUUAAACACUGGCCUUGUUCGCCACCACCAUGGCCCAGAAGCAGGCCCAAUAAUCCUGGGGAGUGUUCCUGACUGGAACUCUGGGUCAGAAAGGAUAAAGAUGACUUAAUCUCGCAAUCCCACUUUCUACUCGGUUCUGAUACUCUUGAUGUACACAUGUUCCUCUGCUAGGUGCUUUUCAUUUUUUUGAGGGCCUUCAGUCUUCUGUUCAAGUGUGCAUGGUGCUUCUAAGCCUUCUCACUUAGUUUUGAAAUUAGCAUUCUACUCAGAAUAGAUAAAUGCUGCCAACUUGCAGUUCUUUUGCUUGGCCCAGAUUCCCUUAUAGUUUGCAGGUAAUUUUCAGGGUCUUCAGUAUGAGAUUAUUUUCAUUUCCUAGUUUCAACACAGAUGGUUUUCUCUUUACUUUUGGUUCAUUUCCGUGCAUUUUGGGGAAAGGAGAUAGAUAAAUGUGCACUUUUCAGCUACCUUUCUGGACAAUAUUAGCAUUUCCCCUUUACUUCUGAAUAUCCUUUGGACUCUCCUAUAUUGGAAAAAGAGGGUGAUUUAUGACUAUUUUAAUGGAAAACAAAAAUAAAUCUAUAGACAAGUUGUUAGAUAUAUUAAGAGUUUAACAAGGUGAAUAUUAUAACAGCUAUACCUUCACCCAGCUACCCUUGCUGGGCUCUAACUCGCUGUCUCUUUCUCUUGUUAUUGUUGUUGUUUUCCCCCAUGGGUGAGUUCUUUAUGGCAGUCUCCACCAUUUCCUCAUAAUCAUUUUCCUUUUGAUUUCUAUAUUCUGACAUCCAGUUCCCAUCAUACUGCGGCAGCUGAUCUCUCAAAAUAAAUUCAUUGAUUUUUUUUUUUAUAAUUGCAGUUACAUUUUUUCUCCUUUACUUUCCUUGCACACAGGACUGUAUUUGAUGCUGUUAAUUAACCCUUCUUUAAAACUUUGUUUUUUGUUUACUUCUGUUUCUUUACUGACUGUGUACAGUAAUCAGAAAAAUCAGAAAAAGACCUGAUUUUCUCUAAAUCAGGCCUUUUUCCCUCAAGGAUCUUUGUGGCCAUUUCCCCUGGUUUUCCUUGAGGAGAAAACUAUCUCUCUACAUCUCCCUCUUAACCCAACUUCCACUCCGCUAUUUUAAUAGUCUACUGGAUGCUACGGUGAACAAUUUAAAAGACAGAAGGACUGGGUGACAAACGUGAGGGAAUUUGGACUGAUGUCUGCAUGUCUGGCUUGAGUAACAGUAGGGACAGCAGUGCUGUUUCACAUAUACAAGGAACAUGAGGGAGAAAAGGGCUCAAGAGGAUCAUUUUGAUUACAACAAACAGGAACAAUGGAAACCACCUGACACCAGUCCCAAACCACCAGUGACAUUAGUCCAACCACUUUAAGAGAGUCUGAACUAGGUAGAAAGGCAAACUGAUAGAGGCUCUCGGGAAAGGAGUAACUACUGAGAAGUCAGCAAGAGAAAAAGUAACUUGACAACACUGUUUUCAAACCAUUGCAGCUACCUGAAAAGAUCCCCUUUCCUGCUCUGGGAGGCUGUUCCAUCUUCAGCAUCAGCACUUUAUCACAGAAGGCCUAAGCAGGGGAGAAUGUUGCCACAGAAGCCAAAGAGGGAAAGUCUUAGUGAAGAGUCAAGAAAGAAAAGUCUUGGAGAAAUACUUUUCGGUAUGGCAGUGAGGAGUGUGGUGGCCUUCUUGAGAGCACUCUCACUGCCUUGGUGAUAGGGGUCAUUUUGCAGCAUGUUGGCUGCAGAGAAGGCAACCUAAAGAAGGCAUUCAUGAAAUGCAGCCUGCUUCUUGAACGAAUCUGGAUGAAAGGCAGGAGAAUGCAUGGCAGCUGGAGGAAAGCCAGGAUGCAGGAGGGCAUUCCUUAGGGCAGUAAAGUGGACGUACAUGCGGGGUUAGAGAGCAACCCAGAAGCAGGAAGCAUGAGCCAGAGUCCAGGGUGCUUUGGAAAGAUUUAGAUAGGGGGUAGGGCCCAUCCUUCUCUGUCAUAGGAAGCAGGAUGUAAAUGGAGUUUCUCUGGUUGGCUGGAGGUUGAGGAAGUUUGCUUCCUAUGGCUUCUAUUCUCAUCUACUGAAAUGUGAGAAGAGGCAGUGGGAAUGGAAAAGCUACCAUGGGAGUGAGAGGAGAAACUCAAGAUAAAUGAAGGAAUUUCUGCAAGCAGUGUGGAAAGCUGAACUGAGGCUGGAGCCAUGCAUUUGGGGUGACAUCAGAUCUUCAGCGGAGUGCUUUUUUUUUUUCCAGCUUCACUUAAUAAUGUGAAUAAAGAUGAUUUUGGUAUAGGAAUUUGCAGGAUGGCUAAUAGUGGAAAACAAAGGAAAAUGGGGUAAUAAUAGAGCCUGCCAUUUCAGAGAGUGAUCAAAGUGACUCACAGUGAGAUCUAGACUAGAGAGGGCAGAAAUGAAAGGACCAAAGAGGAGAAGAUGAUCUCAGUGGAGAUAAAAGGUAGAUGGACGAGGAAAACUAGAGAGCUAGAAGGUUGUGAUUGGAGAUCAGGAUGAUGACAUUUAAGAGCCAGAGGUGAAGUUUAAAAAUAGGGAUUGUGAGCUGUCCAUGUUGGCACAUGCCUAUAGUCCCAGCUACUAUGGAGGCUGGGCGGGGAGGAUCACUUGAGCCCAGGUGUUUGAGGGUACAGUGAGCCAUGCUCAUGCCACUGCCCUCCAGCUUGGGCGAUAGAGCAAGACCCCAACUCUAAAAAAAAAAAAAAAGAAGGAAAAAUAGGGAUUGUGCAAUAGAAUCAAACACAGAGGUCACUGGAUAAUAACAAACAGUAGUUUAUGAGUAGUUUUUGUGUAGCUUUGUUUUUUUGAUUUUUGUUUUUUUGUUUUUUGUUUGUUUGUUUUUUGAGACAGAGUCUCACUCUGUCACCAGGCUGGAGUGCAGUGGCACAAUCUUGGCUCACUGCAACCUCUGCCUCCCGGGUUCAAGUGAUUCUCCUGCCUCAGCCUCCCGAGUAGCUGGGACUACAGGCAUGUGCCACCACGCCCAGCUAAUUUUUAUAUUUUUAGUAGAGAUGGGGUUUCACCAUGUUGGCCAGGAUGGUCUCGAUCUCUUGACCUCGUGAUCCGCCCACCUUGGCCUCCCGAAGUGCUAGGAUUACAGGUGUGAGCCACUGCGCCCAGCCUUUGUGUAGCUUUUUGAGCAGCAACACAAUAGUGGAUAGAGCUGUAAAGAACACAAGGAGAGGAAGGGAAAAUUCAAACAGCUGCGGCUUGUUGGUCUUUUAAUGCCUGGUUCUUGAUUUUGAAUCCACUGCUGUCUUUACAGGAGGGCACUAAUUUCCAGCGAAGAAGUGUAAGUUGCUUUGAUCGUAUCUCAUUCUUACAAAAUGUAGACUCACCAAUGGCUGUUGUUUUUUUCAGUGGGCCUAAUGCAUAUAGCUUCCAGAUGUAAAGGUAAAGUACUCCAGUGGAUGAUUCAUUUUAAAUUAGAAAUUAGCUUAAAGGCUAAUAAAAGUUGAAAAUAAAAUUUAUCUCAAACCUAGUUAGGUGUUUUUUCUUUUUGGCAAGAGAAAAUGGAUAUGAGGAAAGUAUUCUUCCUGUAGUGGGAGAUCAGGGGCAAUAUGGUGAUACCAUAGCCAUGGCACAGAUAAAGUGGGAUCUAAUAAUUUAGUUAAUUUUAUCUGUUUAUUUGACUGUAGGUACUUGAGCAUAUAGUUGUUUUGUUGUUGUUGUUGUCAUUUUUUUAAGAAAAAGCAUCGGUGUUCUUUUGUUUUGUUUUGUUUUGUUUUUUUGAGAGAGAGAGGUCUCGCUGUGUUGCCCAGGUUGGUCUUGUACUCCUGGCUUCAAGUGGUUCUCCCACCUUGGUCUCCCAAAGUGUUGGAGUUACAGGUGUGAGCCACUGCACCCAGUCAAGUUUUCCUUCUUAAGUGAUAAGAGUGAUACUUAGAAAGAUACUCACUUGGAAGAAGAGAAAUUAAAAAUUUUAGCACUUUUUGGCCACCUAAAAUAAUUGCAUGGAAGAGUGACCAAGAAAAACGCUGAAAAAAACUUUUCUUUGGGAAAAUAUAUAUUCCUUAUAUUCCUUAAAGCAAAAAUGAAUAGAGAAAAAUUGGCACCCCUGUUGUGUUAGAAACUAUUUGAAAAAUGAUGAAUUGUAAAUAUUGUCAAUUUCAAUACUCUGGUUUUGAUUUAAAGUUUGAAAUCGAGAUUUUGUGAUGGAAUGAUUUCUUCUGUUUGUAUGGUAGUUAAAGCUUGCUUAUUACCACCAUACUAGAAACUUGGCCGUAAACAGGAAUCUAUGUGCCUGGGCAGAAACUACCCCAUAAACACGUUGUUAUUUUAAAAUCUUAAAGGAGAGAGGAUAUCAAAGUAUAUUCUUUAUCAUUUUCUCUUAGAAAAUCUGACAUUGUGUUUUUGGACUAGUAAGUAGAAUAGAUAUUUAGCAGGAAAUUUAUAUGUAGGCCUUUGGGCUUCAAAAAUACUUAUCCCUGUGAUCCUUUGGGCGUAUCUAUGAUGUCAUGAUGUUGACGGUGUCAGCAUAGUUUAUUUUGUCACAUUUGUGCUUUCAUGAACAUAAAACCUUUAAUUCGUUUUCUUUAAAAGGUACAGCAGCACCAUCUUAGUUAAGCAGAACAAGUUUCACUUCAUGUGACUCAAUCAAUGAAGGAAAAUACAACUUUUGAUAAAGACACCAGUGAGCAUUUUAUUGAUUAAUGGGAUGCGUUAUUUAGCUUUAUGCUUGCAGACAGGCUCAAGAUUAGAUCUUAGUACAUUGGGAAAAACUUCAGUUAUACAACAUGUCCUAACUUUUGUUGUGUUGACAUUCAAGCUAGAGUUUAAUACUCCUCUGAUGAAGGUAUUAAAUAAUGUAGGUUUCUAAGCUGUAUGCAACUAAAGCAUAUUUGCUUCAUGACCAACAUCUAUAUGCUGUGAUGUUAUCCAGUGAGUGAAACACAGGUCAACUCUACACGAAGCCUUUUUUUGUAUUCCUAUUUUGUCUUCUCCAUCUCUCCUUUCUUAUUAUAGCAUAUUUUUUUCACUCUAAGGAAAGAACAUUUAUGCAGGGCUUGCUUACCCCAACAAAGCAUAGCACAGGCAGGGCUGACACAAAAUCAACGGGAGAAGUUUGAAAAAAGAGAACUGCUGGGAUUAAAUGUUCAGUGAUUUACUUGUUGUAUUAGUCCAUUUUCAUGCUGCUGAUGAAGACAUACCCAAGACUGGGCAAUUUACAAAACAAAGAGGUUUAUUGAACUUACAAUUCCACAUGGCUGAGGAGGCCUCACAAUCAUAGUGGAAGACAAAGAGGAGCAAGUCACAUCGUAUGUGGAUGGCAGGAGGCAAAAAGAGAGCUUCUGCAGAGAAACCCCCAUUUUUAAAACCAUCAGAUCUCAUGAGACUCAUUCACUAUUAGGAGAACAGCACAGGAAAGACCCACCCCCAUAAUUAAAUCACCUCCCACCGGGUUCCUCCCACAGACAUGUGGGAAUCAUGGGAGUUACAAUUCAAGAUGAGAUUUGGGUGGGGACACAGCCAAACCAUAUCACUUGUUGAAUGCACUUGGAUUGUACGGAGUGGGGCUGAGCUGCUGAUGUGUGUGCUUCAUCCACUUUGGGGCAAUUUUCUUAUUGUAUAAACUGAAUCAUGCGCCUGUCCUCAUUUGGCUUCACGUUAGAACCAAAAGAUGAGAGAUAUGUGCCCUUUAAAUGGGCUUUUAGUCACAUUUUAUAACAUAAUAAAUCUAAUUUUCAAUGAAUAUACCAACGUAUAUAUCUAGAAUAAGCCAUUUGCUCAGGAAAACAUAUGUCAACAUACUUAUAUGCAGUAAACGCCAACUGAAGCUUAACUUUUUCUAACAAUUCUGAAGUCUCAGAACAUUUACUACCUCUUUUUAGGAAUUGCUUCCAGAGCCAUAAGCACAUUUUUAUAAAUAUUGCCAACAGUGAUAUAAUAUCUUCAUCCAUUAACAUUAAAUUGAAUUUUUUGCAAAUGAUCAAAAGGUCAUUCCGAGUAAAUUCUGUUGUAUAGUGCAGAUGAUCAAGCUGAGUAUUUGCCAUGUUUUUAUUUUAGAAAAGAGAUGUUGCUAUAACAUAAGUAAAUAGAUUCUCGUAUGUGGCAGAUAAAUUUACUUGUAAUCUGCUCUAGAGUGAAAUUAUUUUUUACAUAUAAGCAUUGUCAUCAUUCUAAGGAUUAUUGAAUAAUGAAUAUAAAAUGUUCUUGUGUAUUUGUGUAUGUGUAUAUAAUUUUUUGAAAGUUUCUUUAUCCUAUUGACCCUUCUCAUAAACAGUAGCAUAUAUAUAUUAUAUGUAGUAGAAUUUAUAUAGGAACAUUGUCUUUUUCCCAGUAAUGCUGAUUCUAAACUAGAUUAUGUAAAUUUCAUGUAACAUGACAUUAAGAAUAGUGGGGUGCUAAAGAUAUUUAGAAAUGAUUUCCAAAAUUGUUGUAUUUCUAACAUAGAAGGAUAUUGUCAUUUUAAAAUAAUGUAAAGAAAAAAUGCCCCAAACUAUCUCUUUAAUAAAGUUUUUUUUUAAAAUAAAAAACCAUUUGUUCAACACUUUAUAAUGUAUAUGUUAUUUCUCAUACCUGGUGUUUUUUUUCAUAACAACUAGAGAAAAUUGCUAUUAUCAUUAUUCCCAUUUGAAGAGGAGCCUAUGAAGUUUCAUUAGAGGUAAAUCAUCUUGCUCAAGAUCACAGAGCAGUAAGUGUUGGAACUGGAAUAAACCUAGAUUGUCUGACUCCAAAUCUGUGCGUGUGUGUUUAAUGUUUUAACUUUUAUUUUAAAAGUUCAGGGUACAUGUGCA